UACGGGGGGGGUAAGCGUUGUUCGGAAUUACUGGGCGUAAAGGGCUCGUAGGCGGCCAACUAAGUCAGACGUGAAAUCCCUCAGCUUAACUGGGGAGCUGCGUCUGAUACUGGAUGGCUUGGAUUUGGGAGAGGAAUGCGGAAUUCCAGGUGUAGCGGUGAAAUGCGUAGAUAUCUGGAGGAACACCGGUGGCGAAGGCGGCAUUCUGGACCAAUAUUGACGCUGAGGAGCGAAAGCCAGGGGAGCAAACGGG
rnacentral:rRNA from 1 species